GUGUUUAGUAGAAAGACAAUCCUUUUUUUUUCCAGUCAAUUUUUUCUUUGAUCUAUAGAACUCGCUUCUUUUCUCUGAAGUUUUCACAAUACAGCGUGAUAGAAGGAGCACAGAGUGCCAGAGGCAGGGAACUCCUAUGCUUCACCAGUGACUCAUAAGAAAACUUAAUAGAAGGUCUCUACUGCCCACUGGCCCUGCAGUACCUGAUCGAUGUGGUCCCAAAGUUAAGUAGGCUAACCUUCAUUGAACCAAGAACUUCAGAGGCAUGGGAAGAAGUAUGGGAGAAGGAGUCCUUGUACUCUGGCAAUGAGGAAAAAAAACAUUAACAGUGCAAGACACAGCGAGAAUCACAGAGCCAUGGAUGGACGAUCCUUUUGAGGACAAUAGAGGGGGAAUUUGGAUAAGUUUCCUGAGUGAGAAACCUUCCAGAUGGCAAUCUGAAAGUUAGUUGUUCCUUCUCAAAACACAGAGCUUUCUCAAGAGAAAGAUAACACUCUCCUUCAUCAGAGCGAGUGAG